UACGUAGGGUGCGAGCGUUGUCCGGAAUUAUUGGGCGUAAAGGGCUCGUAGGCGGUUUGUCGCGUCGGGAGUGAAAUCCACUGGCUUAACUGGUGGCUUGCUUUCGAUACGGGCAGACUGGAGGUAUGCAGGGGAGAACGGAAUUCCUGGUGUAGCGGUGAAAUGCGCAGAUAUCAGGAGGAACACCGGUGGCGAAGGCGGGUCUCUGGGCCGAUACUGACGCUGAGACGCGAAAGCGUGGGGAGCGAACAGG
rnacentral:rRNA from 1 species